GAACGUGGAUAACCUACCUAUAAGACUGGGAUAACUUCGGGAAACAGGAGCUAAUACAGGAUAAUAUUUUGAACCGCAUGGUUCAAAAGUGAAAGACGGUCUUGCUGUCACUUAUAGAUGGAUCCGCGCUGCAUUAGCUAGUUGGUAAGGUAACGGCUUACCAAGGCAACGAUGCAUAGCCGACCUGAGAGGGUGAUCGGCCACACUGGAGCUGAGACACGGUCCAG
rnacentral:rRNA from 1 species